rnacentral:rRNA from 1 species
AACGAACGCUGGCGGCAGGCUUAACACAUGCAAGUCGAACGGUGUAGCAAUACACAGUGGCGCACGGGUGCGUAACACGUAUGCAACCUACCUUACAUUGGGGGAUAGCCUUUCGAAAGGGAGAUUAAUACCGCAUAAGACAGUAACUAGGCAUCUAGUAGCUGUUAAAGAUUUAUCGAUGUAAGCUGGGCAUGCGUCCAAUUAGUUAGUUGGCGAGGUAAUGGCUCACCAAGACGAUGAUUGGUAGGGGAACUGAGAGGUCAAUCCCCCACACUGGCACUGAGAUACGGGCCAGACUCCUACGGGAGGCAGCAGUAGGGAAUAUUGGGCAAUGGGCGCAAGCCUGACCCAGCCAUGCCGCGUGCAGGAAGAAGGCGUUAUGCGUUGUAAACUGCUUUUAUACAGGAAGAAACGACCCUUGCGAGGGGCAUUGACGGUACUGUAUGAAUAAGCACCGGCUAACUCCGUGCCAGCAGCCGCAGUAACAC